ACACACCAGCACGCAGGAUUCUCCUUCGUUGUCCUCCCUCUCUUCUUCUUUUUCCUUAUUUUUGAACUCAUUGGCCAGUAGGUAAUUAUUGGCCAUGACAGGAGGCAACGUACCGAAUUGGAUAGCAAGGGGCUCAUCUGGAUCUUCUUCAUCCCUUUUGUCUCUCUCAAACCUUGAUCUCCCAGAAGAGGUUUCUGGCAGUUCUUUCAUUGAUUCAUCUGUACCAAUCUCUUUAUUACCCUUUAAGA
rnacentral:lncRNA from 1 species